rnacentral:tRNA from 1 species
GGGGUUGUGGCUCAGCGGUAGAGCGCUUGCCUAGCAAGCUCGUGGCCCUGGGUUCGAUCCGCAGCACCA